GCAACAAAUGGAAAGCGUAACAUCCUUGAGCCGGGCCAGCGUUUGAGCUCGUGCGACUUGAGAUUUUCCCGCUUCUCACCAUCGCUGAGGUGAAGAGACACGACCUGUUGUGUAAAACUGUUGUAUUAUUUUUAGCUCCAUGGCGGAGUGACGACAGUCGUCCCACUUCUGUACGACACUGACCACAACGUAUAAAGAAAAUCACAGUGGACUGACGCACAGGGAUGUUAUGGAGGUGGAUGCAGACAAGAGGAACCCUACGCUCAUCAUCCUUAUGAGAGGAGGAAGAGAGGCAGAGGAGGAAGAGCAUCUUCUAUUAGCAGAGCAAUGCGACUGUCACCUGAAAAAUGGAGAGGCUGGAUUUAGCGACGGGCCUCGUUGUCAUGGCGAUGCUGUUCUCGGAUGACUCACACUCGUGGAUGGCGUUCAUCUUACCAUGCAUGGCGUCUGUCACCUUCACAACAGCGGCGACACAAAAUCAGAAGAACCGAGAGUAGGACCAACGUCCCCCCGACAAAGAUGGACAAGAGGACCAGCAGGAGAACAUAGCCAUUCUGUGUCC